ACAGAGGGGGCAAGCGUUGUUCGGAAUUACUGGGCGUAAAGGGCGCGAAGGCGGCCUGUUAAGUCGAACGUGAAAUCCCCGGGCUCAACCCGGGAACUGCGUCCGAUACUGGCAGGCUUGAAUCCGGGAGAGGGAUGCGGAAUUCCAGGUGUAGCAGUGAAAUGCGUAGAUAUCGGGAGGAACAUCUGUGGCGAAGGCGACUACCUGGACCAGCACUGACACUGAGGCACGAAAGCGUGGGGAGCAAACAGGA
rnacentral:rRNA from 1 species